rnacentral:rRNA from 1 species
UACGUAGGUGGCAAGCGUUGUCCGGAUUUACUGGGCGUAAAGGAUGCGUAGGCGGACAUUUAAGUCAGAUGUGAAAUACCCGAGCUUAACUUGGGUGCUGCAUUUGAAACUGGGUGUCUAGAGUGCAGGAGAGGUAAGUGGAAUUCCUAGUGCAGCGGUGAAAUGCGUAGAGAUUAGGAAGAACACCAGUGGCGAAGGCGACUUACUGGACUGUAACUGACGCUGAGGCAUGAAAGCGUGGGGAGCAAACAGG